rnacentral:lncRNA from 1 species
ACAAAGUUCUACAGGAAAUAAUUCUCCGACUGAGUUUUCCUUGAGGUGCACAACUCUUUUGAGAUUCCUUUUCUUUCCAGCAUUUGUUUUACUCCUGUUGCUUAUGCUGAACCAGUCGUCAGCUCAACUCAGAAGCAGCACGAUCAGCACAUGUGAGGAACAGGCAAACAGCUGCAGGAAGGCCUUCCUCAGGUGGCUUAAUGUGGGCCUGAUGUGUUGUAGGUCUGUGGGGUCGAGGCUGCAGUACCCAUAUUGGUGUGGCUGUGUCAGGCUUUCUUAUCCAUUUGGUACUUCAACUGUUCUUCUGUGUAUUGCAUUAGCAUCACUGCCAACUGCUCCCAGCUUCCAUUCUUGUUGUUGCACUGCUCUUUCAACUGUGCUGUCCAGCCUGUUGGGGCAAUUGUGGGCCGAACAGGGCUGGGAAUGGAUCCAUCUACAAAGAAACACUUCUUUUGCUGGUUUGUUUUACAGCUGGAUCAGCUCUCUGAUCAGAUUCAUUGCAUGCCUGUUCAAGCAGCUUGGCUGGCAGAGCAGAGAGAGAGGAGGCAUGAUGGUUUGUAAUGACUUGCCACAUGACCUAUCGCCUUGCAGUGCUAGAAAAGGAAGUAAAGCUGAGAAUUCCUGGCCCCCAGAUCUUGAUUUAAACUUCUCUAUCUUCAGCUUCAUCAAGAAAGAGAUUCCAGCACAAAUGAAGAAGUCCUUCUUUCUCAGUCUCCAUAAUUGAAAUUGAAGCAGCUACAAAUUACAUCUUUCCUCUGGUGGGAGCCACCCAUGUGGGUCCCUCUAAGAAAAAUUCUCAGCAGACAGAAGAUUGAUAAUAGAAUGUACAAACAGGAGCCAAUGGACCUCAGAAAGAAUAAAGAUGGGAGUAACAUGUCUUCUAAUCCUUAG